rnacentral:rRNA from 1 species
AGAGUUUGAUCAAGGCUCAGAAUCAACGCUGGCGGCGCGCCUAACACAUGCAAGUCGAGCGAGAAAGGGGGCAACCCUGAGUAAAGCGGCGUACGGGUGAGUAACACGUGGAUUAUCUACCUCUUAGUGGGGCAUACCUUUGGGAAACCGAAGACAAUACCGCAUAAGUUCGAGAGAAGAAAGCAGCAAUGCGCUGAGAGAAGAGUCCGCGGCCGAUUAGCUAGAUGGCGGGGUAAUGGCCCACCAUGGCGACGAUCGGUAGCCGGCCUGAGAGGGCACACGGCCACACUGGCACUGAAACACGGGCCAGACUCCUACGGGAGGCAGCAGUGGGGAAUCUUGCACAAUGGGGGAAACUCUGAUGCAGCGACGCCGCGUGGACGACGAAGCCCUUCGGGGUGUAAAGUCCUUUCGACCGGAACGAUAAUGACGGUACCGGUGGAAGAAGCUGCGGCUAACUACGUGCCAGCAGCCGCGGUAAUACGUAGGCAGCAAGCGUUGUUCGGAAUUAUUGGGCGUAAAGAGCUCGUAGGCGGUUUGCCAAGUUUGGUGUGAAAUCUCCCGGCUUAACUGGGAGGGUGCGCCGAAUACUAGCAGGCUAGAGUACGGGAGAGGAAAGCGGAAUUCCUGGUGUAGCGGUGAAAUGCGUAGAUAUCAGGAGGAACACCUGCGGUGUAGACGGCUUUCUGGACCGAAACUGACGCUGAGGAGCGAAAGCGUGGGUAGCAAACAGGAUUAGAUACCCUGGUAGUCCACGCCCUAAACGAUGCAUACUUGGUGUGAGCCAUUCAAUUGGGUUCGUGCCGGAGCUAACGCGUUAAGUAUGCCGCCU